rnacentral:rRNA from 1 species
GAUGAACGCUAGCGGCAGGCCUAACACAUGCAAGUCGAGGGGUAGAGGUUGCUUGCAACCUUGAGACCGGCGCACGGGUGCGUAACGCGUAUGCAAUCUGCCUUGUACUGAGGGAUAGCCCAGAGAAAUUUGGAUUAAUACCUCAUAGUAUCUUUUCCCGGCAUCGGGAGAUUAUUAAAGUUCUAACGGUCCAAGAUGAGCAUGAGUCCCAUUAGCUAGUUGGUAUGGUAACGGCAUACCAAGGCAAUGAUGGGUAGGGGUCCUGAGAGGGAGAUCCCCCACACUGGUACUGAGACACGGACCAGACUCCUACGGGAGGCAGCAGUGAGGAAUAUUGGUCAAUGGGCGCAAGCCUGAACCAGCCAUGCCGCGUGCAGGAUGAAGCAUCUAUGGUGUGUAAACUGCUUUUAUACGGGAAGAAACACCGGUUCGUGAACCGGCUUGACGGUACCGUAAGAAUAAGGAUCGGCUAACUCCGUGCCAGCCGCCGCUGUAA